UUUUAUAAACCUUAGGAAGUACAAUAAAACCAACAUACAUUGGCGGUCUUAGCAUAUUAGAGAAACUCGCUUUAUAAUCGAAAACACCCGUUAAAUUUUACUUAGCUUAAAAGUUUAUAUACCGCCAUAUUAAAAUAACUAAACAUUUAAUAUUAUAAUCUUAAUUAACAUACAAUUAGGUCAAGGUGUAGCCAAUAUCUAAGAAAAAGUAAGUUACAAUAAGAACAACUUAAGGAAGAACAGUCUGAAAACACAACUAAAAAAGAAUUUAUAAGUACGUAUUAAUUAACAUUUAAUACUGAAUAAACCAGCAAAGAUGU
rnacentral:rRNA from 1 species